GACGAACGCUGGCGGCGUGCUUAACACAUGCAAGUCGAACGGAGCACUUAAUGAGAUUUCUUCGGAUUGAUUAUUUUGUGACUGAGUGGCGGACGGGUGAGUAACGCGUGGGUAACCUGCCCCAGACCGGGGGAUAACAGUCGGAAACGACUGCUAAUACCGCAUAAGCGCACAGUGCCGCAUGGCACGGUGUGAAAAACUCCGGUGGUCUGGGAUGGACCCGCGUCCGAUUAGUUAGUUGGCGGGGUAACGGCCCACCAAGACCGCGAUCGGUAGCCGACCUGAGAGGGUGACCGGCCACAUUGGGACUGAGACACGGCCCAGACUCCUACGGGAGGCAGCAGUGGGGAAUAUUGCACAAUGGAGGAAACUCUGAUGCAGCGACGCCGCGUGAGCGAAGAAGUACUUCGGUAUGUAAAAGCUCUGUCAGCA
rnacentral:rRNA from 1 species